GGGGGUGUCAAGGUUUCGACGGGGGACGGAAACGAAGUGCCGCAUGCCGGAGUGGGCUGGCUCCGUAACAAGCCCAACUUAACUAAACGCAGAUACUGACGUUAGUUACGCACUAGCAGCUUAAAGUUGCUACGUCUUGU
rnacentral:tmRNA from 1 species